rnacentral:rRNA from 1 species
GCAGCCGCGGUAAUACAGAGGGUGCGAGCGUUAAUCGGAUUUACUGGGAGUAAAGCGUGUGUAGGUGGUUAUUCAAGUCAGGUGUGAAAUCCCCGGGCUUAACCUGGGAACUGCUUCUGAGACUGAGUGACUAGAGUACGGUAGAGGGUGGUGGAAUUUCCGGUGUAGCGGUGAAAUGCGUAGAUAUCGGAAGGAACAUCAAUGGCGAAGGCAGCCACCUGGGCCUGUACUGACACUGAGACACGAAAGCGUGGGGAUCAAA